CUCCAGUGGAUACAAUGGGCUAGAAAAACCCUGUGAUGUAUGCAUGGGAGCUGUUUCUUCUCAGCAGCUUCCAUAGCCCGGUCAUUGGUACAUUG